CCUACGGGGGGCUGCAGUGGGGAAUAUUGGACAAUGGGGGGAACCCUGAUCCAACCAUGCCGCGUGUGUGAAGAAGGCCCUCGGGUUGUAAAGCACUUUCAGUGAGGAAGAACGCCUGGUGGUUAAUACCCAUCAGGAAAGACAUCACUCACAGAAGAAGCACCGGCUAACUCCGUGCCAGCAGCCGCGGUAAUACGGAGGGUGCGAGCGUUAAUCGGAAUUACUGGGCGUAAAGCGCGCGUAGGUGGCUUGAUAAGCCGGUUGUGAAAGCCCCGGGCUCAACCUGGGAACGGCAUCCGGAACUGUCAAGCUAGAGUGCAGGAGAGGAAGGUAGAAUUCCCGGUGUAGCGGUGAAAUGCGUAGAGAUCGGGAGGAAUACCAGUGGCGAAGGCGGCCUUCUGGACUGACACUGACACUGAGGUGCGAAAGCGUGGGUAGCAAACAGGAUUAGAUACCCUUGUAGUC
rnacentral:rRNA from 1 species